CACACAAAACCACGACAUUUACGACGAAAGUUAUAGAAAUGAUUCUUAACGAGGGCGGUACUGAUCUUCUCCUCAUUAGGAAGAAUUUCGGAGGGAAGGAGUAGUAGGUUUGAAGAGUUUUUAUUUAAAUUCACAUUACUAUCCCCGAGUACUUGUGAAAUUUUCAACUUUUUAUUUGGUAAGAAGGGGACAUUAUCUUGAUGAAAAAGAUCGAAAAAGGUUAAGAAUUAAGAACCA